AACUUUUCACAGCACGGGCUUUACGCAUAGCAGUGAAGAUUCGUCUGAGCUUGCGUUUUUGCUAGUUGAAAACUAUCAACUGACUGCUCCUGAUGGUCUUCGGAUCGCCAGGGAAUUUUUGGCAUACCACAUGAGGA
rfam:Mycosphaerella graminicola IPO323 chromosome 6, whole genome shotgun sequence.